CAGCAGCCGCGGUAAUACGAAGGGGGCUAGCGUUGCUCAGAAUUACUGGGCGUAAAGGGAGCGUAGGCGGAUCGUUAAGUUGGGGGUGAAAGCCCGGGGCUCAACCUCGGAACUGCCUUCAAUACUGGCGAUCUUGAGUAUGAGAGAGGUGUGUGGAGCUCCGAGUGUAGAGGUGAAAUUCGUAGAUAUUCGGAAGAACACCAGUGGCGAAGGCGACACACUGGCUCAUUACUGACGCUGAGGCUCGAAAGCGUGGGGAGCAAACAGGAUUAGAUACCCCCGUAGUCCCUGUCUCUUAUAA
rnacentral:rRNA from 1 species